rnacentral:rRNA from 1 species
UAACACAUGCAAGUCGCGGGGCAGCACGGGUAGCAGUACCUGGUGGCGACCGGCGCACGGGUGCGUAACGCGUAUAGCAACCCUGCCCCCCAUCAGGGGGAAUAGCCCGCCGAAAGGCGGAUUAAUGCCCCAUAGGCCCAGGGCGCCGCAUGGCGCUAUGGGUAAAGCUCCGGCGGAUGGGGAUGGGCAUGCGUGCCAUUAGCUAGUUGGGGCGGUAACGGCGCACCAAGGCGACGAUGGCUAGGGGGUCUGAGAGGAUGGUCCCCCACACUGGUACUGAGACACGGACCAGACUCCUACGGGAGGCAGGCAGUGAGGAAUAUUGGUCAAUGGGCGGAAGCCUGAACCAGCCAUGCCGCGUGCAGGAUGACGGCCCUACGGGUUGUAAACUGCUUUUCCCCGGGAAGAAUAAGCCCCUCGUGAGGGGUGAUGCCGGUACCGGGGGAAUAAGGAUCGGCUAACUCCGUGCCAGCAGCCGC